ACCACUGAAUUAUAGGAUAGGCUUUUUUAAAUCAGUCAGUUGUAAAUCUUUUUUUUUUUCCUGAGAAGAAAGACUAACAAACAUUUAUGAAACCUAGGGAAAUACGGUCAAUAGAUUAUCUAAAAAUUAAUAAUAGGGAUUGGGUUAAGAAGCUGACCCUCAACCAUGAUAAACAUGCAAUUUAUAUGCAGUUUUCCAUUUUUUAAUUUUCUUAGAAGGCGGCUGCAAGGGUGUGUGUGUGGAAAAUUAUUAGAUAUCCAGUUGUGAGGCAAACAAAGUCUCAAAUAGUUUCUCCUUAACAAAUACAAGAUGAAAUAACACUCACUUUGAGUCUUUAUGCAUAGUGCUAGGCAUUAACAUUUGUUGUUUGUUUUCCAACAGGUUGAAGCAUAUUGUUACAGAACUUCAUGCUUGAAAUUGGGUGUUUUUUGUUCCUUCCCUCCUGCUGAAGGAAACAGAGGAGUUUGGUGGUUUAUAGGAAUUCUUCCUCCUUCCGUCUCCUUUGUCUCUAAGGGCAUGAAAGCUGCUGAACAAACACAGCAAUCCGAAAUAAUUAUACUCUGCUGAAAAGCUGGUGUGCUUCCCUCUAGCUGACCACAGUGCCAGCACCUUACAUAACUUGCAAUCUUUAACUGAACUGCAGCUUGUAUUCUGAAGGCUGAACUAAAACAAGGGCAGGCACCACACAGGCACCUCACUCUCCCUUGGGCCCUCGGACAGGUCUCCAACCCUGCAGGCCAAUAUGCUUGUAGAACUGGUACAUCCUAUGAAACACAGGACAAUUCUGCUCUCCAGACAUGCUGAUAUUGGUUUUCCUGUGGUCAGCAGCCCCAAUAUUCUGAGGGUUUUGCAGCAUUUCAGAAUGGAAGCUGUAAAAAUGCUGGACCUGGACAACUAGAUCUAUUCAGACAACAGAAAUUGUGUAUAACUUACUAAUAAGUUCAACAUUUCUCUUAUGUGAUGGUUAUUUUUCCAAAUAUAAAAUGCCUGUUGUUUACUUAUGUUGGAAGAAUAUCCUUCUGGGUUCAGUUCCAAGUGGGGGAAAAAACACUGGAUUCAUGGAAGUUGCUUGGAAAGGUUUAUUGAUGAACAGGAUCACAUGGCUUGAGAUCCUGGGCAAAGAGCAGAGAUGUUAAGAGUGCCUUGGUUUUAUUCCCUCUGUUGGGCUUUGAAUUUGAGCUUGUAUUCUGAUUGGUUGUCAGACUCCCAUGGGGCCAUGCAGGGGCAACUCUGUAGUCUGUCCUGAGUCCCAAGCUUGGUUGAGCCUUGCUGGAUGAUGAUGUAAACUUCCCAGGUGCCAUGCGGUGAGUUCUGUUGCUAGAUGGGUAGAGGGCUAAUCCUACCUUUGUUGGAUCUUGGGUGAGGGCAUUUGCCUAUGAAUACACCUAGCUAACUCUUUAUCUCUUAAAUGCUGAACAUCUGCUGUGGGCUAUUGAAGAGGGUGGGGGCUAUUGAGAGUGAGUCUGCUUCCUGCCUAAAAAACAUGUUUCUCCAUUUCUCAUCCAGGGAAAUAUAAUAUUCUGCCUUUUUAAUAUUUCUUAGAAUAUUUCAUUUUCCUAGGAGAGAGUGGGUGCUAACUUCCUACACUUAUUAGAAAUAUAUUCCACCUUGCUCCAGAAACUCAAACCAGAUUUAUUUGGAAUUUCCGUUCCCUCCCCUCCCCAAAACAACAAUUCUGGAUGUAGAAAAGAUUAAGACAGAAUAAACUGGCCUAAAAUAAUCCAGUGAGUUUCUCUGGCUCAAAGUAGAAACAAACUUGGUGCUAUUUACUCACAUGCCAACCCUUUAACCACUACACCUGAAUAAUUCUCAAAACCUAGUGUUUCAAAAAAAAAUCAUUUGUAUUACUGUAUUUCUUUCAAAAUCUCAAUUGCUCUUUUGCUUUUAGCAAAAGUGAAUAAGAUAGAUUCUCCAGCUGCUGCUGAAAAUGCAACUCCCACCAAGUCCAGCCAUCCUGACUAUCGUGGGGGAUCCCAGGUGUUACAAAGAGGUGGGAAGGAACGCCUCUCCUGCAAGCUCAAUCAGGAUUGCAACCCUUGUCUCCACUAUAAAGAGUCACGGUUAAUGUAUACCACUCUCUCCACAUCUAUGCCUUCCAGCUGAUGCAAAUAAAACUCACACCACCCCACCAGCUGACAAGCUCAGUACAGUAUCUUUAACCACUGAGCCAUUGUGCCGCCUACAUAUGUUGCUAAAAUAACAUAUACUUAAUUGGGCUCCCCUUGAAGACCACUUGGAAACUUCAGCUAAAUCUGGAAUGCCACAACCCUGAUAUUGGUUGACACUCAUCACCAUGAGCACCUCCUCCAUUGAAAUUGACCAGCCUGACCCAUGUAUCCUGGAGAAAACUGCUAAUGAUUCCCGAUUUCUACCAUAUAUAUAAAAACAAUGAAGCUACUAGGAUAACUUCCUUUGGAAAUCAGGUUGUUCUUAUUAGUUCUCCUAAAUGUACUGAAAAACUGGUUUGUAAAGUUUAUAUGAAUGGUGAGACUCUCAUAAUAAAUUGUUACUUACGUCGUAAGAGUACAUCACAUGAAGUAUUAGUGCCGCUCUAUAAAACCCUAGUAAGACCACACCUGGAAUACUGCAACCAAUUUUGGUCAACAUACUACAAAAGAGAUUUUGAGACUUUGGAAAAAGUUCAGAGAAGAGCAACUAAGAUGAUCAAAGGUCUGGAGACUAAACCAUAUGAAGAACGGCUGCAGGUUUUGGGUUGGGCUAGUCUAAAGAAAAGAAGAAUUAGGGGUGAUAUGAUGGCAUUAUUCUAGUAUUUGAGGGGCUGCCACAAAGAAGAGAGGGUCAAAUUAUUCUCAAAAGCACCAGAAGGCAGGACAAGAAACAAUGGUUGGAAACUAAUCAAAGAGAGAAGCAACCUGGAAUUAAGGAGAAACUUUCUAACAGUGAGGACAAUUAAUUAAUGAAACAGCUUGCCUUCAAAAAUCAUGGGUGCUCCAUCACUGGAAGUUUUUAAGAAGAGACUAGACAGUCACUUAUCUGAAAUGGUAUAGGUUCUCCUGCUUGAGCAGGGGGCUGGACUAGAAGACCUCCAGAGUCCUUUCCAAAUCUGUUCUGUUCUGUUCUAGUCUAGUCUAGUCUGUUUUUAUGUUUAUUAAUAGGAUUAAUAUAGGUAUUAGGAAGUGCUGUUGUUUUAUUAUUCUAAAGUGCUGGGAGUCCAUUAACUGUAAAAGAUAUAAAUUUUGAGAAAUAAAAAAAAAAGAUAGCUGUCAUUUCUCCCCAUAAUAUUCUUAAAGUAAAAUGGACCUGCUUUUUCAGUCGAUCACUUUCUCUGGGUAUGAAACUAGCGAAGGCCUACAUUAUGGUCAUAGUCUCAUUCUUUUGUAGCAAAGACUCCAGUCCAAUGACUAUUGAGGGUGGGAUCUUGAGUGGAGGCAGAGAGAAAUACCCCAAGAGCUCAAAAAGAGUACGUUAUAAAGCAUGUCCUCUUUUGUCUUUUUCCAAUCCAGCUUUGUUUUUUUCCCUCCCUCCAAAACAAGAGAAAGAUUAUUAUUGCCUUCAAGGCAAGCUAUUAUAAAUACAUAAUGGGCAAUGUCUUUGUCUUUUUUUUUUUUCUUGUAACCAUUGUGAGAGAAAGGGUAAACUAUCCUCCUCUCUUUGCCCAGAAGCCUAGUUUGGAAAAGAGCCAUCUCUCAACAUGGCCUCCUUUUUCAUGUGGUGGGCCAUUGUUAGGAUUGUCAUUAUCUCCAUUGGAGAAAUUCCAUGCAAUAAUGGCUGCUUAUAUAAUUGCUUAUGUAACAAGUGGCUGAAAAAGACAGAAAACAAACAUGGGGAGAAAAAAUUGGAAGGAAGGAAGGAAGGAAGGAAGGAAGGAAGGAAGGAAGGAAGGAAGGGCUAUACUGUUGUUAUUUGCUGAAAUGAUGGGGCAACUUUACUUUCUUAUGAGGAAAAGAUUUUAAGGUACUUUAAUAUUCUUAGAGCAGGAUAUGAAAGAAGGGCUUAAUGAACAUUCUUAUCAUCAGCACUUUCUAUAAGCUAAUGUUCAUUCUAUUAUCACCAUUAAAAACAGUAGCAACACUUUCAUUAUGCUAUAGCAGCAACAACAAAACAACAACAACAAUAAUACAUUCUGAAUGCUAAAGGUAUCAUUGGAAUAUGCCUAGAAGAGCUAUGGAUUAUGACCUGGGACAGGUCAAGAUGGAAAGCAUGCAGCCUUCGAAAGUUGGGCCUAGUUUGAUAGUAUGUAACUAUUAUUGUUUGGUGCUUAUCUCUCUCAUGCAUGAAUGCAACUAAAUUAUCUCUCCUAAAUAAACAGCAGAAUUCUACUUGUCUCUA